rnacentral:rRNA from 1 species
GAUGAACGCUGGCGGCGUGCCUAAUACAUGCAAGUCGAGCGAACGGACGAGAAGCUUGCUUUUCUGAUGUUAGCGGCGGACGGGUGAGUAACACGUGGAUAACCUACCUAUAAGACUGGGAUAACUUCGGGAAACCGGAGCUAAUACCGGAUAAUAUUUUGAACCGCAUGGUUCAAAAGUGAAAGACGGUCUUGCUGUCACUUAUAGAUGGAUCCGCGCUGCAUUAGCUAGUUGGUAAGGUAACGGCUUACCAAGGCAACGAUGCAUAGCCGACCUGAGAGGGUGAUCGGCCACACUGGAACUGAGACACGGUCCAGACUCCUACGGGAGGCAGCAGUAGGGAAUCUUCCGCAAUGGGCGAAAGCCUGACGGAGCAACGCCGCGUGAGUGAUGAAGGUCUUCGGAUCGUAAAACUCUGUUAUUAGGGAAGAACAUAUGUGUAAGUAACUGUGCACGUCUUGGCGGUACCUAAUCAGAAAGCCACGGCUAACUACGUG